rnacentral:lncRNA from 11 species
GGCUUGGCUGUGGCUGGCUCUGUCCAUCCAUUCUUGCCUUGCCCAAUCUUGUGAGGCUGGGCUGAGCCUCUUGGCCUGUGUGCGCACCCUGAGUGGCUGGCGGGUGACCGUGCGCACCUUCCUUGUGCCAUGCUGGGGGUGGGCCCUUCCUCCUCCUCCUCCUCCUCCUCCUCCCCCCUCCCUUUCCCUCCCUCCUUGUGGCUUCGGGAGCAGCCAUGGAGGCGGCUGGGAUGCAGCUGCCAAGCAGCCGGAGGAAGGAUGGCGCAGGUGAAGUGGUCACCUCCAACACGGAAGUGAAUGAGGAGGAAGAGGAGGAUGAAGAGGACGAGGAGGAGGAAGAAGAAGAGGAGGAGGAGGAAGGGGAGGGAGUGCCGGUUAAGAACCUGGGCUCCUUGGACGACGACGACGAAGACGACAAGGCAUCGGACCUCUCUGACCAAGAGCUGGACCAGAACCUCAGAGCUCAGGUGCUCCAACUGCUGGACGACCUGGAAGAGGCCAGAGAGACGGCUCUCAAACAUGAGGACGACUCCUUGGAGUUGCAAGGCCUGCUGGAGGACGAGCGAUUGGCCAGCGCUCAGCAAGCGGAGAUCUUCACAAAGCAGAUCCAGAGGCUCCAAGCUCAGAUGCGUUCUCUGAAGGAUGAGUACGAUUCCCUGCAAGGAGUGAAGGAUGUUGAGCUGGAACGCGUCGAACGGGAGCUACGGGAAGCCAACGAGGAGAUCCACAACCUGCGCUUGGAUGCCGAGGAGGCCGCCGCUUUGCACGAAAACGAAAUCGCUGGCUUGCAAGAGGAGCUUUGCCGGCUGAAAGCGGAGCUGGAUCGGGUGCAGCAGGUCCGGAACGAGUAUGACAUGGAAAUCACUGCCCUGAGGGCCGAGAUCAAUAUGAAGAAGUCACCUCCAGGCACAUCAGCCAGCCCGUCUGUGUCUGAGUUGGCUACGAUGUCAGAUAUGGAAGAGCAGCUUUCCAACGCCAAUGAGGAAGUGGGCCACCUACAAGAGGAACUCCAGACCCUCAAGGCUCAAUACCACGACCUGAGCGACGAGUACCAGAUCUUGCAGGAGAGCAACAGGGUCAUGGUCCACCAGCUGGAGAGACUGGAAGCCAUCAAGUACAAGACCAGAAGCAAGUCGGAAUCCGAGUCCAUGGACUCGGAUUCAGAGCCGGAGCAGGUCCCGGUCGAUCCCAGCAUCCGCCGGGUCUCCAUCGCCCGGAGGAACACCCUGCGCGCGGGCGCCAGCGUCUCCUUCAAGUCGGUGGAGGUCGUGGGCACCAGCAGCACGGAGGGCGAGGAGAAGAUGGAGAAGCUGGAGGAGGAGGACGAGUAUGACCUAGAGAACCAGCUGAUGAUGGAGGAGGAGAAGGUGGAGCUGGUGCAGGCGCAAUGCAACCAGGCUCGGAACAGUCUCCGCGAAAUGGAGUCCAAGUGCCGGCUCAGCCAGAGCGAGUGGGAGCAGUUGCACGAGGAGCUGCGGCUGUGCAAAGAAGAGAUCGAGCGGCUCAACGGCACCAUCCCCAUUGGCGGACGGGUCCCAGCCGGAGGGAUGAAGCCCUUGGCCGUCUUUGUCGCCUUGGCCGGGGCCUUGUUCCUGUAUCCCAGCCUGAAGAGAUGCAGCUCCAGUUGA